rnacentral:lncRNA from 1 species
UUCCGUCGUUAAAAGUCAAUAACGACGAACAGUUCACCCGUCGUGACCCGUCAUAAAAGCUUCCUUCGUUAAAACCAGUUACGACCAAAAUGAAUCGCCAGUCGUUAUAGAUUACUCACGACCACAUCGUUUGUCGUCGUUAUUUAGUUACAUUAGUAACCACUCCAUUUUACAAUAACGACCAAUUUUACCGUCGUAAUAGAGAUUACAAAAACUACAUUUAUCCUAUUCAUAGUGUUAAUAACGACCAAAAAUUUUUCGGCGUUAAAAGCAUUUCACAAAUAGAAGAAGAUAAUAUAACAACGACUGUUCUUCCCGUCGUUAAUGAUACAAAUAUUGCAUUUCAUCAUAAUUUAUUUUUGACCAUUUAUUAUUUUUAACCAUGCACAUAAUUACUUUGCAUACACAAUGAUAUAAAUACAUACACACACGCACACAUAUAUAUAAACAAACUUACAUCAAAUCCACAAUUUGUAAACAUGUAAUAAAACUUCAUUAACAAUAAAAGUACUUAGCAUCUAUAAUAUUCAUAUUUUUUCCAAAACAUUCAUCUAGUAGAUAUAGUUUCCAUCACAACAUAGUUUUCAUCGCACCAUUACAUAUAUAGUCAACAUUUACUAAAAAAUGAAACAAAGUACUGAAAUCAACGACUAUCACCAUGUUUCCAAAAAAGGUUAGCUUAAAAAUAAAAAAAAAGAGCUUGCAAUUCAUCGUCUUUUCUUGUUCCAAAAAUCACCAUGAGCUACCUACAAAAGAAACAAGGAAAAACAAUGUAAAAAUAAGUCCUGCAAAUAGCUAGAUAGCAAAAUAAUUAAGCAAAUAAACAACUCAUAAAAUAUAAAACAACUUUUGUGUCACGCCCCGGGACCGGCGGAGGCCCUCCCGGUAGCGUGCCCAGACCCGCCAUAUGUCUACACAUAUAAGGCGUCUACAAGAAAAGCGGAAGUAAAAGCAAGGGAUGGAACAAAUAAAAGAAGUGAAAUAACAAGCAACUAAUGAUAUCAGAGCGAGUAAAGUUCUAACAUCUAUACUAAUAGUAAUAGAACAUAACUAGUACAUAAAAGUAGGCAUAAGUUAUACAAUAUCAGACUCUAAUACAAAAAUGGUGGUCUCUAGUACACUGGUAAAACCCUCAACCUCUCCAAAAUAAAGUACAACGAGAGGUAGACCACCUAGCAAGUCGUCCUCGUAGGAAGCUAGCUCGAAGCAACUCCCUUCCCGCGGUCCCUGGCCUCACCCUGAGUGGAAGGCUCUGAAAAACAUCGAGAAAAAGAGGGCGUGAGAACUAUAAUUUAUAGUUCCCAGUGGGAAAUUACUGACCUCAGCUCAGUGCACCACUAGGCCCAAAGAAAAGGGUAAGUCUAACAAUAAGAGUAACAAGUAAAUUGCAUAUUAGAAAGCAUAAUAAUUAGGAUGCUAAGCUACAACUUGCAAUUAAACAUGGCAUUCCUAAUGCGACUUUAUCUUGUCAUGGAUAUAUAUAUAUUCACAAGUAAUAUCAUGCUUUACUUUAUACAGAUAUGAAAGUAAUACUUGGUCGUGACUAUAAUGCAUAUAAGGAUGCAAUAAACAACAUCUCCUAGCAUACUACAUGUAUGUAUGAAUACCCAAAUGUCCACAACUAUGCUAGAAGGAAGUCCAAGUGAUCCUACUACUACUCUCAGACUAGUAGUGUUCAUAAUAAACCCAACACCGUGUCGAUUUCCAUUUCCAAAUAAGGACCUACCAAAGGUAGUCCAGCUUGUGCCGCCUAAGUGCCUGUGGUAGCCCAACAUCCCUACUCUUGGGAUGUGUCUGUCCCACUCGACCCCGUAGGCUUCUCAAUACCGCACGAGCGAACAUAGGUCGCGUAGGCUAACUCCGGAGUGCCGGCUUGUAGGGAGCGACCCUCACAAGCAUGUGCGAAUGAGCACAAAUGGCAAACAAGCAAGGUCACUGUCUCAAAUACUCUAUCCGCAUGUCUCUAACAUGGCAAGGUCACUAGCAUCCCAAAGAUCUAGCCCAAUGUCUCUAAGUGAUGUCCCAACACUCACUUGCUUAGUGCCUCUUUAUGACACUUAAGCAUCACACCGAUCAAGCUCGAUUUUUGUUCUAUGUUUCAUUUAAACAUUAAUACUAAUGACUACUAUAGCCCGGGCCCAAUGCCUCUUUAUGACAUUGGCCCAAUACUCAAAUAGUCCAAUUUCUCAAGCCCUCUCUAGGCUUCUAAAAUUCCUAAUGUCACAAUUGGCAUAUAGGUUAAAGGCAUGAAGGCAAGAUUCAUUUCCACAAUAGGAAUCAUGAUCCACAAUCCUAACUAGAAUGCUAAGUCUCACAUGCAUGCACUCUAUCGCAUAGGGGUCUAAAAUUUUACCAUACAUAAUAUAUGCAUGUUAAGCAUUCUAAAAUUCAUAUUAAAUACAUUUAACAUGGAAAUGCAUGAAUUUCUAUUUUUUAAGACAUAUUUGCCAAAUAUGAGCAUUUCUCAUAUCAUAGGCUAGGUCAAACCCACCGAACCGUCGCGUGCUCCUUCGAUUCGCCGAACGGAGUUGUCCACGAGCCUCAAAGUACCCUAAAAGUAAUCAGCGAAGAGAUACGAGGGCAUUACGACCAACCAUAAGAUCAAACAUUAACCUAGAAGCAAAAAGGGCCAAAACUCACCUCAAGAGAAGAAAUCUCUUCCAAAGCUCCAAAAGAGAGCUAGAACCCUUCCAAUCCAAGCCCAAGGAAGGUUCUAAACCAACUAAUUUGGGUCCAAAAGCCCUAGAUCAAAAAUGCCCAAAAAUAAGCCCUAAGUAUCAAAUCUAGGGUUUCAUCUCAAAAACUUAGCAAAACAAGAUCUAGAGGAGGGAAAUGAGCAACCAACCUCCUUAGAAGCUCCAAUCCUAGCUCCAAGGGUGAAGAUCUCCUCCUAUGCAAGCUCCAAGACCAAGCUCCAAGCACCAAGGAAGAAGAGAGGGUGAGGAAGAUGCUCCAAGUCCUCUAAAAGCUCUCAAUCUUCUUCUUCUUCCUUCCUUCUUCUCCUUCUCCUUCUUCUUCUUCUCCUCUACCAAGGGUGUGGAGAGAGUUGAGAGAAGAGAAAUGAGGAGAAGAGAGGGUGGAGGGGUCAUAUAGACCCUCUAUUGUAACAAAAUCCCAAGAGGCCCCUCAAAAAUCCAAUAUUGCAACAGCCCGGUCUGGGCAGUUUUCGCCCAGAGGGACCGGUCUCUCCCCAGCAGGGACCGGUCUCUCGCUGCGAACCCGAAAAACCAGCGUUCGGGAACCGGUCUCUCCCUGCGCGGGACCGGUCUCUCAUUGCGAAGACGCGCUCGGGGACCGGUCUCGCCCGCCAGGGACCGGUUGCCUCAGGGCUGCCGCAGCACUGCUCACUGGGGGACCGGUCUCUCCUUCCAGGGACCGGUCCCCGAGAGUAAAAACUCUCAGGACUUGUCCAGAAUUUCAGUUUUCGAACUUUUUGGGUCGGAAAACAUUCUACAACCAUCCACCAAGAGUGGAAAAGCUCGAAAUACAUCCAAACACUCGAACCUCGCAAUUUGCAAAGGUCCAGUGCGUUACAUUUUGUAUACCAAUAUAAACAUGCAGAAAUUAUACAAAUUAAUCUAAAUAGG